rnacentral:rRNA from 1 species
UAUGACAGUGGAGAGUUUGAUCCUGGCUCAGGAUGAACGCUAGCGAUAGGCUUAACACAUGCAAGUCGAGGGGCAGCAUGAACUUAGCUUGCUAAGUUUGAUGGCGACCGGCGCACGGGUGCGUAACGCGUAUGCAACUUGCCUUACAGAGGGGGAUAACCCGUUGAAAGNGGCAGCAUGAACUUAGCUUGCUAAGUUUGAUGGCGACCGGCGCACGGGUGCGUAACGCGUAUGCAACUUGCCUUACAGAGGGGGAUAACCCGUUGAAAGACGGACUAAUACCGCAUAUACUUAUUCGGUUGCAUGACCGGGCAAGGAAAUAUUUAUAGCUGUAAGAUAGGCAUGCGUCCCAUUAGCUGGUUGGUGAGGUAACGGCUCACCAAGGCAACGAUGGGUAGGGGAACUG